rnacentral:rRNA from 1 species
GACGAACGCUGGCGGCGUGCUUAACACAUGCAAGUCGAGCGAGAAAGCGGCUUCGGCCGUGAGUACAGCGGCGAACGGGUGAGUAACACGUGGGCAACCUGCCCCGGAGACUGGGAUAACAGCCCGAAAGGGCUGCUAAUACCGGAUAACGUACGGCCUGCCAAGUGGGCCGCACCAAAUGGCAGCUUCGGCUUCUGCCCUGGGAUGGGCCCGCGGCGGAUUAGGUUGUUGGUGAGGCAACGGCUCACCAAGGCGACGAUCCGUAGCUGGUCUGAGAGGACGAUCAGCCACACUGGGACUGAGACACGGCCCAGACUCCUACGGGAGGCAGCAGUGGGGAAUCUUGCGCAAUGGGCGAAAGCCCGACGCAGCAACGCCGCGUGAGCGAAGAAGGCCUUCGGGUUGUAAAGCUCUGUCAGGAGGGACGAAGCCACUCGGGUGAAUAGCCCAGAGGGUGACGGUACCUCCAGAGGAAGCCCCGGCUAACUACGUGCCAGCCGCCGCAGUAACAC